rnacentral:lncRNA from 1 species
AAAUACUUAUUAUGACAGGCUAGUAGAUGACGCUUUGGGAAAGCGCCAUUGAAUGUAUUUCUUGACACUUAAAAAGCGCCAUGGUUAACGUUUUUUCUUAUAGUGGAAAUCUAUAUAAACCCCUAUAGAGGUUUAAAGUUAGACAUUUCAUUUAUUUAUCUUCUAAAGAGCGAUAUAUCUAGCCUCCAUCCCUGCAAAGAGAAAAGUCUGCCUUUCUAUAGUGCCUAACUUUGAGAAAGAACCA